CAAUAGCGUAUAUUAAAGUUGUUGCAGUUAAAAAGCUCGUAGUUGGAUUUCUGGUGGGAGCGAUCGGUCUGGCGCUUAGCGCGAGUACUUGCAUCGUCUCCGGCCAUCCUUGGGGAGAGUCUGUCUGGCAUUAGGUUGUCGGGCAGAGGAUCCUCAUCGUUUACUGUGAAAAAAUUAGAGUGUUCAAAGCAGGCUUAUGCCGUUGAAUAUAUUAGCAUGGAAUAAUAGAAUAGGACUCGGUUCUAUUUUGUUGGUUUGUUGGGACUGAGUAAUGAUUAAGAGGGACAGUUGGGGGCAUUUGUAUUUCGUCGCUAGAGGUGAAAUUCUUAGAUUGACGAAAGACAAACUGCUGCGAAAGCGUCUGCCAAGGAUGUUUUCAUUGA
rnacentral:rRNA from 1 species